AAAGUAAACAUUGAAGGCGUUUGAACAUGCCAGACAAAAAUAAACAUGUAUCAAUCAUGUUUAUAUCGACUCGACCAUUGAUUGUCCUGGACAAUUCUGAAGACAUCUACUUCCAUUGUAAUCUUCAAACAAGAUUUUGUGUUUAGUCAAUGAUAGGAAGCUUGUGGUGGCAACAACGAUAAAGUUGAAAACAUAGUCGGACUGGCCCUGGAAUUGUGUUUUAAGAGUACGGAAAUUCAAGUCAGCUAUGCAGUUUGAGUUGCUUAUAAAAAAAAAAAAGAAAAAAUGUCGACUUUCACACGGUUCACGGCCAGGAUUCGAGGUGUUGCCCAUAACCAAGAGGACCAAACUCGGCCUUUUCUGAAUAAAAUCAAUAUUUUUUUUUUUUAUCACGGACAUGGUCGAGUGGUUACGAUUGAUCCCAAACAUCUGUCACUCUCAUUCUGAUGAAAUCAGUUAAUCCUCUACGUGUAUCGUUUCAAAUAUUUAGUUAUGAACCGAUUGGAGAUGGAACCCGUAGAACACUAAAAAUCAUAGGCGGAUCCAAUUUUCUUUUUACGAAAAAGUACGAAGUUUAGAACACUGGGAAUAUACCCAAGCAUAUAGCCCCAUGCCUCACAGAUCGCCUUUAAUUGUCAAAAUGGACCCAUGGAAAAUUGUGGAUAUAAUUACCCGUGAUUUUCGUCAGGUCGUCAGCUGUCGGGAAAAGGUGUAGAGACGGACGAGGUGUUGAAAUGUAAUUACGGGUCCCAGGGCUUACCUGCUUUAUAGUCCGCUUACUAAAUAAUUCAAGAGGGAAGAAAAUUUUAUCUCUCCCAAAUAGGAUAAUUGUGAUGGCACCCUGUAAACAUGUGUGCCGUCUUAAUUUCGCGAGAGGUCAAGUCUCACGAGAGACUUUUUCUUAUUAGGUGUGAACGAACUGGUUAAAUAAAAAAAAAAACCUACUACCUAAUUAAAGAAUCUGUGUAGAAAAUUUGUUUUGAACAUAUCUUAUUGAUCAAAUCAAAAGCAUUCGGGACACGUUCUGGCAACUUACUAUAGCCCCUCUGCUACAGGUAUUACUAUAUGUUUUUAAAGAUAAUAAUUAACAGGUAAGAUGUACAAUAAUUGAAUGAAUCCACAAGUUUCAUCUAUAAAUCUGUGAACAGCUGGAAAAAUAAAUAUCGAAGAGACUGUGUGUAGAUUUCAUUUGGUAAUCCCUCGCCACACACCCCGCCCACCCCGAUAGGAAACCUACUUGUAGAAUCAGCAUUUCUUUCUAUAGUUGUAAUCAAUUUCAAAUGAUUUUUAUUAUACAAGAGAUGCAUUCAUUUUUUGAAAGGUCUCCAAAAUGUAAUCUAUGCAAGCAUCUACUUGAUAGUUUUUAUCUUCAGUACUAUUUACGAAAAUGUUUACCAGAAAUUUUUACUAUAAUAUUGCGUAAAUUAUUGAUAGAAGGGGGUCGAUACUCAAAUUUAUCAAGUUCUCAAAGAAAAUGUCAGAAAUGUGAUUUUAAUGAAAUGGAAAACGAAUAUCAUUUUCUUCUGCCAUGUCCCUAUUACUCCGAUUUACGGAAAACAUACAUCAAACGAUAUUAUUUUGUUCAAAAUUGUACAACUUUUUUCAAUAAGGAACAGAAAAGCAUUUUGUAAUUUUAACAAUGUUUUGAUAAAGGCACUGAGCCUAAGAAACUUAUAAGAUAUUAUAUGUUUGUCCAUCCUCCAUAUUUGGUCACAUGAUUCUUUUCACAUGGUUAUGCUCACUAGAAUAUAUAUUGUUACUUUGAUUAUGAUAUAACUGUACCAUACCAAUAAGAGGUUUCUCAAGGUUUCAAUAAACUAAAUGUAUGGAAUCUGUGAAAAUUAAACAGUGAAAUGUGUACAAUAAAAUCUGGAAUUUUAAAA